rnacentral:lncRNA from 1 species
UGCGAACAAGUCCUUUGUCUUCUUUCAUAACUGGAUUGCUGCAUAUUGCCAGGUUCCUCCUAACCACCAUGAAAGCCUACGUGCUCUUGGCCCUGGUCAUCUGCGGAUAUCUCUGCCAAAUUCAAGCUGCUACAUUGAGCAAGCCGGAAAAAACAACGCACGCAUUAGAGAAGCUUGUGGAAGAAGAGAUCACCAAGGCAUCCGCGAAUGGGCAAGGACACCUCGCCGAAGCUCUCAAGGCCCUGAAGAGCUCGGUUAACGGCGAAGAAACUGAAGAGGCCUACUUCUUUGGUCUAC